UCGACCGCCUGGGGAGUACGGCCGCAAGGUUAAAACUCAAAUGAAUUGACGGGGGCCCGCACAAGCGGUGGAGCAUGUGGUUUAAUUCGAUGCAACGCGAAGAACCUUACCUGGUCUUGACAUCCACAGAACUUUCCAGAGAUGGAUUGGUGCCUUCGGGAACUGUGAGACAGGUGCUGCAUGGCUGUCGUCAGCUCGUGUUGUGAAAUGUUGGGUUAAGUCCCGCAACGAGCGCAACCCUUAUCCUUUGUUGCCAGCGGUCCGGCCGGGAACUCAAAGGAGACUGCCAGUGAUAAACUGGAGGAAGGUGGGGAUGACGUCAAGUCAUCAUGGCCCUUACGACCAGGGCUACACACGUGCUACAAUGGCGCAUACAAAGAGAAGCGACCUCGCGAGAGCAAGCGGACCUCAUAAAGUGCGUCGUAGUCCGGAUUGGAGUCUGCAACUCGACUCCAUGAAGUCGGAAUCGCUAGUAAUCGUGGAUCAGAAUGCCACGGUGAAUACGUUCCCGGGCCUUGUACACACCGCCCGUCACACCAUGGGAGUGGGUUGCAAAAGAAGUAGGUAGCUUAACCUUCGGGAGGGCGCUUACCACUUUGUGAUUCAUGACUGGGGUGAAGUCGUAACAAGGUAACCGUAGGGGAACCUGCGGUUGGAUCACCUCCUUA
rnacentral:rRNA from 2 species